rnacentral:rRNA from 1 species
UUGGAGGGCAAGUCUGGUGCCAGCAGCCGCGGUAAUUCCAGCUCCAAUAGCGUAUAUUAAAGUUGUUGCAGUUAAAAAGCUCGUAGUUGAAUUUCGGGAUCAAUAUGCCGGUCGUGCCUUGGUACGCACUGGUAUCUUUGAUUUCUCCCUUCUGAAGAACCUUGAUGUCAUUAAUUUGGUGUCAUGGGGAAUCAGGACUGUUACUUUGAAAAAAUUAGAGUGUUUAAAGCAGG